rnacentral:hammerhead_ribozyme from 1 species
AUCCAUCUGACAAGUCCCAAAUAAGACGAAAUGCGCUUACUGGAU